rnacentral:rRNA from 1 species
GUUAGGAAUCUCCCACAAUGGGGGCAACCCUGAUGGAGCAACACCGCGUGCUGGAUGAAGGCCUUCGGGUCGUAAACAGCUUUUGUAUACGAAGAAUAUGACGGUAAUAUACGAAUAAGGGUCGGCUAACUACGUGCCAGCAGCCGCGGUCAUACGUAGGACCCAAGCGUUAUCCGGAGUGACUGGGCGUAAAGAGUUGCGUAGGCGGCUUAUUAAGCGAGUAGUGAAAUCUGGUGGCUCAACCAUCAACACAUUGCUCGAACUGAUAGGCUUGAGAAUGGUAGAGGUAGUUGGAAUUUCUUGUGUAGGAGUGAAAUCCGUAGAUAUAAGAAGGAACACCAAUGGCGUAGGCAGACUACUGGACCAUUUCUGACGCUGAGGCACGAAAGCGUGGGGAGCGAACCGGAUUAGAAACCCUUGUAGUCC